rnacentral:rRNA from 1 species
AUUGAACGCUGGCGGCAGGCCUAACACAUGCAAGUCGAACGAGUGGCGGACGGGUGAGUAAUGUCUGGGAAAGUGCCUAAUAGAGGGGGAUAACUACUGGACACGGUAGCUAAUACCGCAUACCAUCAGAUCUGCCCAGAUGGGAUUAGCUAGUAGGUGGGGUAACGGCUCACCUAGGCGACGAUCCCUAGCUGGUUUGAGAGGAUGACCAGCCACACUGGAACUGAGACACGGCCCAGACUCCUACGGGAGGCAGCAGUGGGGAAUAUUGCACAAUGGGCGCAACCCUGAUGCAGCCAUGCCGCGUGUAUGAAGAAGGCCUUCGGGUUGUAAAGUACUUUCGGCGGGGAGGCGUUAUCCGCAGAAGAAGCACCGGCUAACUCCGUGCCAGCAGCCGCGGUAAUAC